rnacentral:antisense_RNA from 1 species
GAAAUUGUCAUCCUCCGCGGCAAGCAGCGCGUGGAUGAAGGCUUGCGGUAUGUCGUCGAAGCGAAUGGGCGAGCGCCGCAUCUCGCCAAACUCCGCGAUCAGCUUGUCAUCGGCGCUGUAGACUCGCAGCGGGAUCUGGAGCUGGAUGCUGCGAAGGGAAUCGACCGAGGGCAGGUUAGGGCUGAGGUAGAGAAAUGCACCGCUGAUGCUGAGCAACAGGGCGCAAAAAACUGCGAAGCACGACCAGAUAAGAAAUUUCAAAAAACGCAUCGGGGUUCUUGGAAUCCAGGAUUU